GGACUACCAGGGUAUCUAAUCCCGUUCGCUCCCCAUGCUUUCGUGGCUGAGCGUCAGGUACGAGCCAGGGGGCCGCCUUCGCCUCUGGGGUUCCUCCGGAUCUCUACGCAUUUCACCACUACACCCGGAAUUCCACCCCCCUCUCUCGUCCUCUAGAAGAACAGUCUGGCAUAACCUAUCCCAGUUAAGCUGGGAGAUUUCAUACACCACUUGUUCCCCCGCCUGCACACCCUUUACGCCCAGUAAUUCCGGAUAACGCUUGCCACCUACGUUUUACCGCGGCGGCUGGCAC
rnacentral:rRNA from 1 species